UACGUAGGGGGCAAACGUUGUCCGGAUUUAUUGGGCGUAAAGAGCGUGUAGGCGGCCAGGUAGGUCCGUUGUGAAAACUCGAGGCUCAACCUCGAGACGUCGAUGGAAACCAUCUGGCUAGAGUCCGGAAGAGGAGAGUGGAAUUCCUGGUGUAGCGGUGAAAUGCGCAGAUAUCAGGAAGAACACCCGUGGCGAAGGCGGCUCUCUGGGACGGUACUGACGCUGAGACGCGAAAGCGUGGGGAGCGAACAGG
rnacentral:rRNA from 1 species